rnacentral:rRNA from 1 species
UACGUAGGGUCCGAGCGUUAAUCGGAAUUACUGGGCGUAAAGCGUGCGCAGGCGGUUUGCUAAGACAGGUGUGAAAUCCCCGGGCUUAACCUGGGAACUGCGCUUGUUACUGGCAGGCUUGAGUGUGGCAGAGGGGGGGUGGAAUUCCACGUGUAGCAGUGAAAUGCGUAGAGAUGUGGGAGACACCGAUGGCGAAGGCAGCCCCCUGGGCUAACACUCGACGCUCAUGCACGGAAAGCGUGGGGAGCAAACAGG